rnacentral:rRNA from 1 species
GUGGGGAAUAUUGGACAAUGGGCGCAAGCCUGAUCCAGCCAUGCCGCGUGAGUGAUGAAGGCCUUAGGGUUGUAAAGCUCUUUUGUCCGGGAAGAUAAUGACUGUACCGGAAGAAUAAGCCCCGGCUAACUUCGUGCCAGCAGCCGCGGUAAUACGAAGGGGGCUAGCGUUGUUCGGAAUCACUGGGCGUAAAGCGCACGUAGGCGGACCAUUAAGUCAGGGGUGAAAGCCUGGAGCUCAACUCCAGAACUGCCUUUGAUACUGAUGGUCUCGAGUAUGGAAGAGGUUGGUGGAACUGCGAGUGUAGAGGUGAAAUUCGUAGAUAUUCGCAAGAACACCGGUGGCGAAGGCGGCCAACUGGUACAUUACUGACGCUGAGGUGCGAAAGCGGGGGGAGCAAACAGGAUUAGAAACCCGGGUAGUCC